rnacentral:rRNA from 1 species
GUCUAUGGCCAUACCACCCUGAAUGCACCUGAUCUCAGAAGCUAAGCAGGGUCGGGCCUCAUUAGUACUUGGAUGGGAGACCGCCUGGGAAUACCAGGUGCUGUAGGCU